GACGAACGCUGGCGGCGUGCCUAAUACAUGCAAGUCGAGCGGACAGAAGGGAGCUUGCUCCCGGAAGUUAGCGGCGGACGGGUGAGUAACACGUGGGCAACCUACCCUGUAGAUCGGGAUAACAUCGAGAAAUCGGUGCUAAUACCGGAUAAUCAUUUGAAGUGCAUGCUUCGAAUGUAAAAGAUGGCUCCGGCUAUCACUAAGGGAUGGGCCCGCGGCGCAUUAGCUAGUUGGUAAGGUAAUGGCUUACCAAGGCAACGAUGCGUAGCCGACCUGAGAGGGUGAUCGGCCACACUGGGACUGAGACACGGCCCAGACUCCUACGGGAGGCAGUAGUAGGGAAUCUUCCGCAAUGGACGAAAGUCUGACGGAGCAACGCCGCGUGAGUGAUGAAGGUUUUCGGAUCGUAAAGCUCUGUUGUUAGGGAAGAACAAGUGCCGUUUGAAUAAGGCGGCACCUUGACGGUACCUAACCAGAAAGCCACGGCUAACUACGUGCCAGCAGCCGCCGUAACAC
rnacentral:rRNA from 1 species